AGAGAUUCGACUUCUUUGAUACGUGUGUGCUUCUCUAUGGUCGCAUUCUUCCACAGCCUAUGUUGCACAGAUUUUCUUGGUUU
rnacentral:sRNA from 1 species